GCUCCUCCUCUUCGCUGCCGGUGGGCACCGCCGCUCGCUCGCACUUCUGCGCCCAUUGGAGCUUCGGAGAUCCCUGCGGUCCCGCGGGACGGCGCGGCAGCAGCUGACCUCGCAGACAGGAUCUUGCUCUCUUGCCCAGACUGGAAUACAGUGGUGUGAACACGGCUCACUGCAGCCUCAACCUCCUGGACUCAGAGAUGUCGGCUUAUUUAUAGGAAUUGCUUGAAGCCAGAGUCAUGGUGGAUGUCGGAAAGUGGCCCAUCUUCACUCUACUCUCCCCUCAAGAGAUCGCGUCUAUUCGGAAGGCGUGUGUCUUCGGCACCUCAGCCAGUGAAGCACUGUACGUUACUGACAAUGAUGAGGUCUUUGUAUUUGGACUGAACUAUAGUAACUGUCUAGGAACUGGAGAUAACCAGAGUACACUUGUACCCAAAAAGCUAGAAGGCUUAUGUGGAAAGAAGAUUAAAAGCCUCAGUUACGGGAGUGGACCACAUGUUCUUCUCAGCACCGAAGAUGGAGUGGUUUAUGCCUGGGGCCACAAUGGAUAUAGCCAGCUUGGGAAUGGGACGACCAACCAAGGCAUUGCUCCCGUCCAGGUCUGUACCAAUCUCUUGAUCAAGCAAGUGGUGGAAGUAGCUUGUGGCUCACAUCAUUCAAUGGCUCUGGCAGCUGAUGGAGAGGUGUUUGCUUGGGGUUAUAACAACUGUGGCCAAGUGGGAUCAGGUUCUACAGCAAAUCAACCAACUCCUCGAAAAGUUACAAACUGUUUACAUAUUAAGAGGGUAGUUGGCAUUGCCUGUGGUCAGACUUCAUCCAUGGCUGUUCUGGACAAUGGCGAGGUAUAUGGCUGGGGUUACAAUGGCAACGGUCAGCUGGGCCUGGGAAACAAUGGCAACCAGCUGACCCCUGUGAGAGUGGCAGCUUUGCACAGCGUGUGUGUGAACCAGAUUGUCUGCGGUUACGCACAUACUCUAGCACUAACAGAUGAGGGCUUGCUGUAUGCCUGGGGAGCUAACACAUAUGGGCAGCUGGGAACUGGCAAUAAAAAUAACCUGCUAAGCCCAGCACACAUCAUGGUGGAGAAAGAAAGUUUUCCUCGGCGGUCUGUGUGAUCUAUCCUAACUCACAGUGAGCUGAGGAUGAGAAGUGGGCAUUUGGGAAAGGAGAACAGUGCUCUUGCCCUGAUCUGUUGCUUUUGUUGCUGUGACUUGGCAGCUAGUGUCCCUGGAACUUGGACUGUUUUCUGAGGGUGGUAGAGAUUGCAGCCUGUCACUCUGCCCACACGUCUGCAGCCAAGACGCAGGGUGGGCACGUGUACAUGUGGGGCCAGUGCCGGGGUCAGUCCGUGAUCCUCCCGCACCUCACCCACUUCUCCUGCACCGACGACGUGUUUGCCUGCUUUGCCACUCCCGCCGUCUCGUGGCGCCUCCUGUCUGUGGAGCAUGAAGACUUUUUAACAGUUGCAGAGUCACUGAAGAAAGAAUUUGAUAGUCCAGAAACUGCUGAUCUGAAGUUUCGAAUUGAUGGAAAAUAUAUUCAUGUCCAUAAAGCUGUUUUGAAAAUCAGGUGUGAGCAUUUUCGAUCCAUGUUCCAGUCGUAUUGGAAUGAAGACAUGAAGGAAGUGAUAGAAAUCGAUCAGUUUUCUUACCCAGUGUAUCGUGCCUUUCUCCAGUACCUCUACACAGACACAGUCGACCUGCCGCCAGAAGAUGCUAUAGGUCUUCUGGAUUUGGCGACAUCUUACUGUGAAAACAGACUGAAAAAACUUUGUCAGCACAUUAUCAAGAGAGGAAUUACUGUGGAGAAUGCCUUUUCGCUAUUCUCUGCUGCAGUCAGAUAUGAUGCAGAGGAUUUAGAAGAAUUCUGCUUUAAGUUUUGCAUCAAUCAUUUGACAGAAGUUACACAGACUGCAGCAUUUUGGCAAAUGGAUGGCCCUCUGCUAAAGGAAUUCAUUGCUAAAGCCAGUAAAUGUGGAGCCUUUAAGAACUGAAGCGCAAGGCUGCUGGGUUCUGUGUGAGUGCUCUGGGGCACUGUUGAGGAUGUGUCCAGUUUGUGCUCUACGGGUGAUGUGAUUCUGCAGGUAAAAGACCAUCAGGUUGUUUUUUUCCACAUCUGGGACACAGUUGUUUGUGUAGGAACAUAACAAGGGUGUACGGCUUUUCUUGAGCCCAUUUUAAACAACCCUUGUUUCCAGAUAAGUGUAUUUUAAAUGUGACCUUUCGUAAAUUUGGGCUGGAACAUGUAAAAGGGUGAAAGUUAGUCGUUUUUGGUCUUCUUUUCAUUUUUGAUUAGAGGAACUUCUGAACUUGGAAAGGGGAAGUUGGCAGCAACUCUCCUGGGCCACGUAUCAACAAUCUUCUGACAGCAGGAGCAGUGAUAGUUGGGGAAUUGUGAGAUGAAUGGAGAGGCCCCAUCGUGAAUUAAAGAUGCUGACCUGGGGAUUGUUAAGUGCUGCCUUAGUUGCUAGUUUAGUAGCCUUACUGUGAAGGAAUAAUUAAGAUUGUUUCAGACUUUUGUUUGUGUGCUUGCGUUGAUGACUUUUUUAACUUCAAGAUAAAUCAAAGUAAUAAGUUUAACGUAUAUUAAACCUGUUGAAAUGAUAAUUAUGUAAAGAUAAAUAUUCUAGGUUAGUCAAGAUUUCUCUUAAGAUUUAAGUGCAUAAAGAAUAGUAAUUUAGAAGUAUCCGUGAAAAGUUGAUAAUGAAAGAAAUUUGAUGAAGGUGAAUAUUUUAUAAAUUAGAAUCUCCACUACUUAUCCAAUGGUGUUUUAUUUCAUUAAGGUAGAACUUGAGAACUCAAGUUUAAAUUGUCCCCCACCACCUUCUUCUAUAAAUGCAAACUUAAGAGGAAAAUAAUGACAUGUAUAGUAUACUCUUGCCUUCCUAAAUUAUGACUGCUGAAUCAUCAUAUCUACUAUAUAUGACUGGAAGAAGUGGUUCUUCAAGUCAACCCUCUUACAAGACUUAGUGGAAUUUGCUUUAUCUACUUUAGGCCAAAUCCAUCACACAUUGGCUUAUGUGAAACUUUAUCAUCUUUCACUUUUGGUUUUCCUCUGUUUUUAAACAUCUUAGGUAUAACAGCACAAUUUCACCUUGAAAAAGCACCAAAAUUAUGGUGUUCCUGAAAAGAUCCUAUUAAAAGACAGUAGUUUAUUUGAACUGGUUAUGGAAGGUGACUUUGGGAUGUAAGAGUGUUCAACUGUGAGUUUCAUCAUGUGUGUCCGUUGAGCUUGCUUUUAAGAGCAAUGUUUUGCUUUGCUCUCUGGUCCAUGAACUCAUUUCCAUUUGAGUGAGUUCCCUUAGUGAAUUUUGUCUCCUGCUUGGAAAGUCUCUCUUCUGAACCUGGAGCCUGAAUACAUUUUCAGAGCCAAAUUACAAGUGGGUGAAGACAUGCUACAACUACUAUUUUUAGCAAUGUUUUUAAAUUUGUGUCUAUUGGGGUGGGAAGGGGAGUGAGGCCCUAAAGAUAGGAAUUCACUGAUAGCUGAAAUAGAUACAAGCCUAGGAGCCCCAGCCCCCUUUUCUUGACCAUAUCACAAGUGAUUGAAGCCCAGUGAAUUAGUCGGUUAGAAUUCGUUCUACAACAUGAUAGAACUUUUCUUACUAGCUUCAGAAAUGCACAUUGAUUUGUGCUAUGAUGGGUGGUGUUUGUAACAAUCACUGUUCUAUAGGCUUAUGAUCUGAGCAAAAUGUGAACUUCAGUAUGUUUACUAUUGCUCUUACUUGAAAACUUUUUUUCAAAAAAAGCACAAAUUAAAGUAGUAAAUUCAUAUCCAUAGAUAGUUCAUUCAUUCAACAAAUAUUUACCAAGUUCCUAAUAUAAGUGAAGGACCACUUCUCAUAUUAGAUUACUAAGUCAUUUGUAUGAAUAUGUGUGGCAGUGAAGAGAACAGGUCUUUCAAAAAGCAUUUGAUUAUUUUUUUUAAAUACACUCUCUUAUUUUUCUACUUGUUUUUUUGUUAAUCAUAGCAGGAUAUGACAACUCUUAUUUGAAUUGAUUUUUUCAUCUAAUGUAAUAAUGGAAGCCAAAGUAUUCAUAUUUCUUAAGAUAGCCCUAAAUGUACUCUUGAACUUCUUACUGGAACAAUGUUUGAUACUCUAGUAUGUAAGCUGUAUUUAUGUAAUAUUUAGAACGACAUGUUAAUAAACAAAGUAACAUUAAAACAGG